UACGUAGGUGGCAAGCGUUGUCCGGAAUUACUGGGCGUAAAGGGCGCGUAGGCGGUACUUCAAGUCAGGCGUGAAAGCCCCGGGCUCAACCUGGGAACCGCGCUUGAGACUGGAGAACUAGAGUUCGGGAGAGGAUGGUGGAAUUCCCAGUGUAGAGGUGAAAUUCGUAGAUAUUGGGAAGAACACCGAUGGCGAAGGCGGUUCUCUGGGCAUGACCUGACGCUGAGGAGCGAAAGCGUGGGGAGCGAACAGG
rnacentral:rRNA from 1 species